AUACGGAGGGUCCAAGCGUUAUCCGGAAUCAUUGGGUUUAAAGGGUCCGCAGGCGGUCAAUUAAGUCAGAGGUGAAAGCCCAUCGCUCAACGAUGGAACUGCCUUUGAUACUGGUUGACUUGAGUUAUACGGAAGUAGAUAGAAUAAGUAGUGUAGCGGUGAAAUGCAUAGAUAUUACUUAGAAUACCGAUUGCGAAGGCAGUCUACUACGUAUAUUCUGACGCUGAGGGACGAAAGCGUGGGGAGCGAACAGGAUUAGAAACCCUAGUAGUCC
rnacentral:rRNA from 1 species